CGUAGGUGGCAAGCGUUGUCCGGAUUAUUGGGCGUAAGCGAGCGCAGGCGGAUUGAUAAGUCUGAUGUGAAGCCUUCGGCUCAACCGAGAACUGCAUCAGAACUGUCAAUCUUGAGUGCAGAAGAGGAGAGUGGAACUCCAUGUGUAGCGGUGGAAUGCGUAGAUAUAUGGAAGAACACCAGUGGCGAAAGGCGGCUCUCUGGUCUGUAACUGACGCUGAGGCUCGAAAGCAUGGGUAGCGAACAGGAUU
rnacentral:rRNA from 1 species